rnacentral:miRNA from 1 species
CCACUCUGUCUCGGAUCCUGGCA